CCUACGGGAGGCUGCAGUGGGGAAUAUUGCACAAUGGGCGCAAGCCUGAUGCAGCCAUGCCGCGUGUGUGAAGAAGGCCUUCGGGUUGUAAAGCACUUUCAGCGGGGAGGAAGGCGUUAAGGUUAAUAACCUUGUCGAUUGACGUUACCCGCAGAAGAAGCACCGGCUAACUCCGUGCCAGCAGCCGCGGUAAUACGGAGGGUGCAAGCGUUAAUCGGAAUUACUGGGCGUAAAGCGCACGCAGGCGGUCUGUCAAGUCGGAUGUGAAAUCCCCGGGCUCAACCUGGGAACUGCAUUCGAAACUGGCAGGCUAGAGUCUUGUAGAGGGGGGUAGAAUUCCAGGUGUAGCGGUGAAAUGCGUAGAGAUCUGGAGGAAUACCGGUGGCGAAGGCGGCCCCCUGGACAAAGACUGACGCUCUGGUGCGAAAGCGUGGGGAGCAAACAGGAUUAGAUACCCCAGUAGUC
rnacentral:rRNA from 1 species